CGUUGCUAAGGACGCCUCCGUGCAAAACGUAAACAUCCGACAUGAAUUAAGUAUAUAUUUCAAAAGAAAAAUAAAGAAAAGAUGUAUAAAUGUACAACAGAAACAUAAUAAAUGGCAAACACAAGAAAAUACUGAGUUUUGUGGCAGAUAGAAGCAGCCUCAAAGGCUGUUUUUACUCCGUCACUCGUCAAUACCCUUAUCUCCCCGCCUGCGUCACGACUUGCUCUGCUGAAAUUACCGCACCAUAACCACGUCAUCUGCCCCAAUGAUCUACGGGCCGGAGAACCAGCGCAGAAAAGGAGUAAGUUUAAUUGGUCGCCAGAUGAAACGGUCUUCUUACAUCAAAUUCAAGAAAAAAUACGUAUAAUCAGAGGGUGUUAUGGGAAGAGUAUCACCCCUGAGGAUAAGAAGAGAGCGUGGACUGAAGUGGCAGAAGCUGUAACAAGUGCCUUCCCUGGGAGUGGACCCCGUACGCAGGAUGACUGUGAGAGGCGUUGGUACAACGUACAACAAAAAUCAAAGCCUUGCAUUGCCAAGUGCAAGAAUGAGCAGCAGCAGACUGAUACACACUUUAUCAGUAUUGCUAGAGACCAUCCCAGCACAUUGUUCAUUACUUGUGGAAAAGAUACCAUUAGCUGCUCCGGCAACAGCCACCGCUUCAAUAUCUGCUGGCCCUAUGACACCAGCCACUGCUUCAUCAUCUGCUGGCCCUAUGACACCAGCCACUGUUUCAUCAUCUGCUGGCCCUAUGACACCAGCCACUGCUUCAUCAUCUGCUGGCCCAAUGACACCUGCCACUGCAAGGGAUGACAAUGAAGCUGCUCCACCAGUCACCACCUACUUCAUCGGAGUUAAGAGAUGCCUUUCAUAGGGCAGCAGUAUAAUUUUUUGAUGCUGGGGCUGAAUAUUACUGCCUCAAGGCUAUGAUUUUGUCACUUUUUUUUUUUUUAUUACUGAGGAGGUUAGGGUGGAAGGGGUGAAAAAUAAUUUGUGCUGUUUUUCGACAGAAAUGAUUAGCAAAUUCAUUCAAAGCACAAAAUUUACCGGAAAAAAAAUUGUGUGCCAUUGUGAGUGGGUUCACUUGAGAUUGGGCUCCAAUACGCCUCCGUGUUCUAGUGGUCAGCAUGCCUGGCUUCUACGCGGGCCCGGGUUCGAAUCCCGGCCUGGGCAGUCGGCGUGCAGCUCACCCAGCUGAUCAUCCUCCCUCUCGGGCUGGUCGAUAAAUGACUACCUGGGGAAACUGUGGUAGCCCGGAUGUCACACUGGCCCUGUGUCCCGGGGUAAUGGGCUCCCUCUCACCACAGGCUCAAGGCCCAAUGUUACGGAGAUGAGCACCGAGGCCACGCGCUGCUAUAGCGUAUGCCCCAACUUUACCUUUACCUUUAUUGGCUCGACUGACAGACAUGGCUUUGUAUGUCGAAGGUCACUGGUUCAAUCUCCACAGCCAGCACUCUCUAACUUGGAUUUUUCCGAGUUCCCUAGAGCCUAGAUUAAUUUCUCGGUGUUAAAUGAGGAGAUUUGCACCGGCACCCAGUCAUGGGUGUUACAAGAUGCGUUGUUACAAUCAGGGGUGUCAUUUGGCCUUCAAAAGUGGGAGGGAC